UCGAUUUCACGGUAUUACUUUUAUCCGCCAAUCGAAACUAUUUCAUCGCGAAAUUUUUGUAGCGCGUAUUUUAAUUUUUUCAGCGGUAUUCCGCUGCGAGGCAUUCCUUCUAUUGCGGCAACGAAUAUUUUAUUGUUUAUUCGUUUGCUUUUCAUUGGUAGGAACGACGGGGAGAAGUGCAGGCAGAUGCGACCCCUAUCCCUACGGAAUUCUAGAAGUGGUCAAUGUAUGCCCUGCGAAUAUAUACGCAGCGUACCCAUGAACCAGCAUGUAUUUGUGAAACUGGACGCGAGUGUUUACUCCGUUUGAUGCAAUCCAUGCGUUUAGAAACGGUUUACACAGGAAAAAAUUAAUACAACCAGGAUCGAUCACUCGGGGCUAUACUCCUCGGUUACAUGGCUUGUGGAAUGUCCAACUCGAAAAAUUGUUCGAUUUCACGGAACAAAUCAGUUGAACCGACAAUUUCAUUUGGCACUCUGCUGGUAAAUAGACAGCAUUUUCAAUGGAGCACUCUACAUAAUCGACAGGCUACUCUACAUUAUCAACAAAAUAAUCUACAGUCCCAAUGGUGUUCUCUACAUUACCAACAAGAGACUCUACAUUAUCAA